CAUAGGUUAAUGAGGCGAACCGGGGGAACUGAAACAUCUAAGUACCCCGAGGAAAAGAAAUCAACCGAGAUUCCCCCAGUAGCGGCGAGCGAACGGGGAGGAGCCCAGAGCCUGAAUCAGUGUGUGUGUUAGUGGAAGCGUCUGGAAAGGCGCGCGAUACAGGGUGACAGCCCCGUACACAAAAAUGCACAUACUGUGAGCUCGAUGAGUAGGGCGGGACACGUGGUAUCCUGUCUGAAUAUGGGGGGACCAUCCUCCAAGGCUAAAUACUCCUGACUGACCGAUAGUGAACCAGUACCGUGAGGGAAAGGCGAAAAGAACCCCGGCGAGGGGAGUGAAAAAGAACCUGAAACCGUGUACGUACAAGCAGUGGGAGCCUCUUAAUGGGGUGACUGCGUACCUUUUGUAUAAUGGGUCAGCGACUUAUAUUCUGUAGCAAGGUUAACCGAAUAGGGGAGCCGAAGGGAAACCGAGUCUUAACUGGGCGUUAAGUUGCAGGGUAUAGACCCGAAACCCGGUGAUCUAGCCAUGGGCAGGUUGAAGGUUGGGUAACACUAACUGGAGGACCGAACCGACUAAUGUUGAAAAAUUAGCGGAUGACUUGUGGCUGGGGGUGAAAGGCCAAUCAAACCGGGAGAUAGCUGGUUCUCCCCGAAAGCUAUUUAGGUAGCGCCUCGUGAAUUCAUCUCCGGGGGUAGAGCACUGUUUCGGCAAGGGGGUCAUCCCGACUUACCAACCCGAUGCAAACUGCGAAUACCGGAGAAUGUUAUCACGGGAGACACACGGCGGGUGCUAACGUCCGUCGUGAAGAGGGAAACAACCCAGACCGCCAGCUAAGGUCCCAAAGUCAUGGUUAAGUGGGAAACGAUGUGGGAAGGCCCAGACAGCCAGGAUGUUGGCUUAGAAGCAGCCAUCAUUUAAAGAAAGCGUAAUAGCUCACUGGUCGAGUCGGCCUGCGCGGAAGAUGUAACGGGGCUAAACCAUGCACCGAAGCUGCGGCAGCGACACUAUGUGUUGUUGGGUAGGGGAGCGUUCUGUAAGCCUGUGAAGGUGGCCUGUGAGGGUUGCUGGAGGUAUCAGAAGUGCGAAUGCUGACAUAAGUAACGAUAAAGCGGGUGAAAAGCCCGCUCGCCGGAAGACCAAGGGUUCCUGUCCAACGUUAAUCGGGGCAGGGUGAGUCGACCCCUAAGGCGAGGCCGAAAGGCGUAGUCGAUGGGAAACAGGUUAAUAUUCCUGUACUUGGUGUUACUGCGAAGGGGGGACGGAGAAGGCUAUGUUGGCCGGGCGACGGUUGUCCCGGUUUAAGCGUGUAGGCUGGUUUUCCAGGCAAAUCCGGAAAAUCAAGGCUGAGGCGUGAUGACGAGGCACUACGGUGCUGAAGCGACAAAUGCCCUGCUUCCAGGAAAAGCCUCUAAGCAUCAGGUAACAUUAAAUCGUACCCCAAACCGACACAGGUGGUCAGGUAGAGAAUACCAAGGCGCUUGAGAGAACUCGGGUGAAGGAACUAGGCAAAAUGGUGCCGUAACUUCGGGAGAAGGCACGCUGAUAUGUAGGUGAAGCGACUUGCUCGUGGAGCUGAAAUCAGUCGAAGAUACCAGCUGGCUGCAACUGUUUAUUAAAAACACAGCACUGUGCAAACACGAAAGUGGACGUAUACGGUGUGACGCCUGCCCGGUGCCGGAAGGUUAAUUGAUGGGGUUAGCGGCAACGCGAAGCUCUUGAUCGAAGCCCCGGUAAACGGCGGCCGUAACUAUAACGGUCCUAAGGUAGCGAAAUUCCUUGUCGGGUAAGUUCCGACCUGCACGAAUGGCGUAAUGAUGGCCAGGCUGUCUCCACCCGAGACUCAGUGAAAUUGAACUCGCUGUGAAGAUGCAGUGUACCCGCGGCAAGACGGAAAGACCCCGUGAACCUUUACUAUAGCUUGACACUGAACAUUGAGCCUUGAUGUGUAGGAUAGGUGGGAGGCUUUGAAGUGUGGACGCCAGUCUGCAUGGAGCCGACCUUGAAAUACCACCCUUUAAUGUUUGAUGUUCUAACGUGGGCCCGUAAUCCGGGUUGCGGACAGUGUCUGGUGGGUAGUUUGACUGGGGCGGUCUCCUCCUAAAGAGUAACGGAGGAGCACGAAGGUUGGCUAAUCCUGGUCGGACAUCAGGAGGUUAGUGCAAUGGCAUAAGCCAGCUUGACUGCGAGCGUGACGGCGCGAGCAGGUGCGAAAGCAGGUCAUAGUGAUCCGGUGGUUCUGAAUGGAAGGGCCAUCGCUCAACGGAUAAAAGGUACUCCGGGGAUAACAGGCUGAUACCGCCCAAGAGUUCAUAUCGACGGCGGUGUUUGGCACCUCGAUGUCGGCUCAUCACAUCCUGGGGCUGAAGUAGGUCCCAAGGGUAUGGCUGUUCGCCAUUUAAAGUGGUACGCGAGCUGGGUUUAGAACGUCGUGAGACAGUUCGGUCCCUAUCUGCCGUGGGCGCUGGAGAACUGAGGGGGGCUGCUCCUAGUACGAGAGGACCGGAGUGGACGCAUCACUGGUGUUCGGGUUGUCAUGCCAAUGGCACUGCCCGGUAGCUAAAUGCGGAAGAGAUAAGUGCUGAAAGCAUCUAAGCACGAAACUUGCCCCGAGAUGAGUUCUCCCUGACCCUUUAAGGGUCCUGAAGGAACGUUGAAGACGACGACGUUGAUAGGCCGGGUGUGUAAGCGCAGCGAUGCGUUGAGCUAACCGGUACUAAUGAACCGUGAGGCUUAACCUUACAACGCCGAAG
rnacentral:rRNA from 1 species